rnacentral:rRNA from 1 species
UUGGGUAGGGGAGCGUUCUGUAAGCCUGUGAAGGUGGCCUGUGAGGGUUGCUGGAGGUAUCAGAAGUGCGAAUGCUGACAUAAGUAACGAUAAAGCGGGUGAAAAGCCCGCUCGCCGGAAGACCAAGGGUUCCUGUCCAACGUUAAUCGGGGCAGGGUGAGUCGACCCCUAAGGCGAGGCCGAAAGGCGUAGUCGAUGGGAAACGGGUUAAUAUUCCCGUACUUGGUGUUACUGCGAAGGGGGGACGGAGAAGGCUAUGUUGGCCGGGCGACGGUUGUCCCGGUUUAAGCGUGUAGGUGUGUGUUCCAGGUAAAUCCGGUUCACUUUAACACUGAGGCGUGACGACGAGGCACUACGGUGCUGAAGCAACAAAUGCCCUGCUUCCAGGAAAAGCCUCUAAGCAUCAGGUAACAUCAAAUCGUACCCCAAACCGACACAGGUGGUCAGGUAGAGAAUACCAAGGCGCUUGAGAGAACUCGGGUGAAGGAACUAGGCAAAAUGGUGCCGUAACUUCGGGAGAAGGCACGCUGACACGUAGGUGAAGUGAUUUACUCAUGGAGCUGAAGUCAGUCGAAGAUACCAGCUGGCUGCAACUGUUUAUUAAAAACACAGCACUGUGCAAACACGAAAGUGGACGUAUACGGUGUGACGCCUGCCCGGUGCCGGAAGGUUAAUUGAUGGGGUCAGCGCAAGCGAAGCUCCUGAUCGAAGCCCCGGUAAACGGCGGCCGUAACUAUAACGGUCCUAAGGUAGCGAAAUUCCUUGUCGGGUAAGUUCCGACCUGCACGAAUGGCGUAAUGAUGGCCAGGCUGUCUCCACCCGAGACUCAGUGAAAUUGAACUCGCUGUGAAGAUGCAGUGUACCCGCGGCAAGACGGAAAGACCCCGUGAACCUUUACUAUAGCUUGACACUGAACAUUGAGCCUUGAUGUGUAGGAUAGGUGGGAGGCUUUGAAGUGUGGACGCCAGUCUGC